rnacentral:sRNA from 1 species
AAAUUUUAAAAUAUAAUUGUAAAACUAAAAUAAGAGAAAAUCCCGUUUUGAUAUUUUCAAUUGGAUUAGGGAUGUUCAAGCUUCGAAGAAACGAUUUCAGGAGUGCAGAUUCACAUGGGUCAAUCGAAAACAGAACAAACCGACGGAUAUUCUUGCCAAGGGUCGCUUACUCCAGAAUGAACAAUUUAAAUUUUACUCUUACGUUCCGAUUGUAAUUUCCUCAGCCUUACAGCUGGACAACUCUGGUUCAUAAUAUCAAUGGAAAAGAAGAUGCUAAAACAAAAUAAAAAGUUAAAAUAUCACCCUGUAAAGUCACAAAAGUUUAAAAUAACUUAAAAAUUAAAAAUCUAUCUAGCUAGAAGCUA